rnacentral:tRNA from 1 species
GGGCAGGUACCCAAGUGGCCAAAGGGGGCAGACUGUAAAUCUGCUGGCAUUGCCUUCGGGGGUUCAAAUCCCUCCCUGCCCA